UACGAAGGGGGCUAGCGUUGCUCGGAAUCACUGGGCGUAAAGAGCUCGUAGGCGGCUUGUCGCGUCUGCUGUGAAAACUCGGGGCUUAACCCCGGGCCUGCAGUGGGUACGGGCAGACUAGAGUGCGGUAGGGGAGACUGGAAUUCCUGGUGUAGCGGUGAAAUGCGCAGAUAUCGGGAGGAACACCGGUGGCGAAGGCGGUUCUCUGGGCCGUACCUGACGCUGAGGAGCGAAAGCGUGGGGAGCGAACAGG
rnacentral:rRNA from 1 species